UACGUAGGGUGCGAGCGUUGUCCGGAAUUAUUGGGCGUAAAGGGCUCGUAGGCGGUCUGUCGCGUCAGGAGUGAAAACUCGGGGCUUAACCCCGAGCCUGCUUCUGAUACGGGCAGACUAGAGGUAUGCAGGGGAGAACGGAAUUCCUGGUUUAGCGGUGAAAUGCGCAGAUAUCAGGAGGAACACCAGUGGCGAAGGCGGUUCUCUGGGCAUUACCUGACGCUGAGGAGCGAAAGUGUGGGGAGCGAACAGG
rnacentral:rRNA from 1 species